rnacentral:rRNA from 1 species
UGCGUAGGCGGAAUAAUAAGUCAGUGGUGAAAUCCUGUGGCUCAACCACAGAACUGCCAUUGAUACUAUUAUUCUUGAAUAUAGUUGAGGUAGGCGGAAUGUGUAAUGUAGCGGUGAAAUGCUUAGAUAUUACACAGAACACCGAUUGCGAAGGCAGCUUGCUAAACUAUUAUUGACGCUGAGGCACGAAAGCGUGGGGAGCGAACAGGAUUAGAUACCCUGGUAGUCC